GGAAGAACGGCACUUCUGACAUCAGAGGCUCCAGCUGAAAGGUUCCAAAUCUAGGAGCUGGAGUCCAUGACUCACAGGAAGAGAAGAUUAAGACACAGAGAUACCAGAGAGGUCGUUCACAGAGGAAAGACCAUGUGAAGACGCAGUGAGAAGGUGGCCAUAUUCAAGCUGAGGAGAGAGACCUCAGAAGAAACCAAUACUGCCAACGCCUUGGUCUUGGACUUCCAGCCUCCAGAACUUGGACUCUACCUUCCUUCCCCUGAUUCUCAUGAGAAUCUGAUCUUCGCUAAAGUGGGCAAGGUCCUGGAUCAGAAGAUGCCUGACAAGAGGCCACUAUCAGCAGCAACAGCACAGUGGGGACAAACCUGAGACCUUGAUGGACCGUGGACACCAGCAGGAGAGACAGAGGAACUUGAAGUCUAAAUGGGCAGACAAGACCAACAUACACAAAGCAGAGAGUGGCACAAGAGCCAUGUCUGAUGCAACAGUGACUCAGGAGGAUCACUCUGACUCAGAAUGGCCAAGCAAAGGUUAGCGUGUUAAGUCUCUGAAGCUGAUUAACGGCUUAACUCAAGUUUUCGCACCUGCAGACCAGUGACCCCCCACCGCCGCCCCCCCGCAAGGCAUCUGUUUGACGUCUCUUUAAUUUUAUUAGUGGCUUAUGGACAAAAUCACUUGACUUAACCUUUUUCAAGUGUAAGUUAUUUGGAUUCACAAGAGCAUUUUUCUCCCUGUUAUAAAUCAAUGAACCCAGUUAAGAUUAACUGCCUACAUGUGAGCUUCAAAAGAUCUUCUAUGGCCAGGCAAAGUUGAAAGAAACACAUAAUUCCAUAACAUGCUAAACACAAGUUGAUCAAAGUUUUUGGAGCUGGUUACUUAAUGCUGUACUUCCUCAUUCUCAAACAAUCUGAUUUCAAGUAGUUUGUGUCUAAAACAUAUAUUACUAGACUGCAAACAUUCAUCCUUUGGAAGAAAAAUCAUUUCUGUAUCUUAACUGGUCAAAAUCUAUGUUUCAACAGACCUAAACUAAACUCUGGGCUAAACAUUCCUGAACCUAAUUUGUGAAAUUCCAUAAUGUUUGGAGAUUAAAGCAAAAAGAAAUGAAAAUAAAAGAAA
rnacentral:lncRNA from 10 species